AUACAGAGGGUGCGAGCGUUAAUCGGAAUUACUGGGCGUAAAGCGCGCGUAGGCGGUCUAUUAAGUCAGAUGUGAAAUCCCAGGGCUCAACCUUGGAACUGCAUCUGAUACUGGUAGACUAGAGUUUUGGAGAGGGAAGUAGAAUUUCAGGUGUAGCGGUGAAAUGCAUAGAGAUCUGAAGGAAUACCCGUGGCGAAGGCGACUUCCUGGCCAAAAACUGACGCUGAGGUGCGAAAGCGUGGGUAGCAAACGGGAUUAGAUACCCUAGUAGUCC
rnacentral:rRNA from 1 species